AUUUCUGAACUGUGUUAUUAGAUGCAUACAAUUUUAGAAUAGAUAAUUUUGUGUUGUAUUGACACUUUUAUUUUUAUGAAAAACCAUUCUUAAUCCAUAGUAAUGCUUAUUAUCUAAAAGUCUUCUUUUUUUCUAAUACUAGUAUAGUCAUGCCACCUUUAUUUUAAUUCGUGUUUUCAUGAUAUAUACUUUACUAUAAUACUUUUUUUUUUGAGAGAAGCACAUCUCAUUUACAAAUCAUCCCCUGCUAUAACUGCUAUAAGUGACCAAUCCAGACUGCCCAUUGCUAGUUGAGCUCCACGUGGAAUAUUGAGCUUCCAGUGAGAGACAGUGGUGUGUCCGCCUGUCAUCUGAUAUUGGUUAUAUGAGAUGAAGUUUCUUCAAAUCUGGAAGACCCAUCUCAGGAUGCCAGCAAGGAGAUGUAUCACUUUCAACUAUAUGUUCUUUUUUUGAGUAAUCCUAUUCAUAUUGAAAUCAUGGGAAUGAGAAACUAAAUUGGCUCAGUCUGACAUAACACCCACUGACCAGAGGAAAGCAGGAUACGUUCCCUGCAGUAGGGAAGUUCUAGUUCCCCAAGACAGAAGUGAGAAGACAUGCAUGCUGAAAAAUGAGAAAUAACAGGUGUCCCCUAAAUUCCCCUGGAUUUGUUCUUUUGCCAUUUCCCCCAUGUUGUCAUAAUAUGUUGGGAAAUAGCAGAGUAUAGGGCAAAGAGACCUGGAAUAGAUUCUGAGUCUUGAAUUUGACCUUCAUCUCUGCGUAACAUUAGACAAGUCAUAUAUAUAACCUUUUGGGUACUUGGUUUUCUCAUCUGUAAAAUUGGAGAGCUUUAAUGUGUUGUUGCCAAGAUUUCUUCCCGCUUCAUAGGGGAAGAAUUUAUGGCACAAACUUGGGCGCUGUCCACGGUUCUGCCAAGUUAAAGUGAAAUCUUUAUAAAUGUACUUCAGGGCUUUAUUGUGAUAAACACCCCCAAUGAGAAUUUAUUCUGUUUAAACAUCAAGAUUCUGAUGGCGUAGACUCAAGUAGCCACCCAGAUUGGGGUGGCUGAGAGCUGUGGAAGAUGUCUUGGGCUGGGAAUUAAGAGAUGUAGUGCAACGCUCAUCUGUGCUUUGGUCUCUCUGACAUUCGUCUACUCUUCACUUAAACACCGCGAUUUUCUUUUGGUCACUCAGUUAUCUGGUAUCAGUCCAUACAAUUCAGGCAGAGCCGAAUUUACCCUCCACACUCCUCCUCCAUUUAGCCCACUUUGUUACGGUGAAAAAUUGCAGGUCUGUACAAGAUUCCAGGUGGGGCUGAGUCAUGUGAACUUUCUAAGGUGCUGGCUUUAGUGACAAGCACCAGUCAGGGAAAGCUCAGCUCCUUUGGAGCAUGAAUAGGAAAGAAACAAACAGUGAAAAAUAAUGCAAAAGGGAGACAAAAAAGGACCUAGACAUUGGAUGGGCUUGCCUCAGGUGCUGAGGAGAUUCAGAAGAUUAACUUCAUUCCACAACCUCCCAUCCAAAGAGGUAGAGUCACCUGAGUCCCUGAGGAAGGUGUCCUCCAUGAAGUAACCCAUUGCUGAGAAAAUUUCAGCAUCUCCUCCAAUAGAUCAGUAGUACUUAGAGUCAAAGACCACUGUAGAAGCAGAGUAAGGUUCCAGAAGGGAGAUCAGUGGUCACACCUGAGUAAGAAACAAGAGUCUAAUUUCAGUUCCACAUACAUUGAGAUUCUGGCUGGGACAAUGGACAUAAAACGAGCAUUUAGUGCUCUGAGGUCAAUACAAUCACAUGUGCAAGUUAUUGCAAGAACAUAAUGGAUGAGCAUGUUGGCUGAUGGUGGUGUUGAGGGGAGACUGCUCAGGGACAGUUUCCUGGUGGGAAUAAGAGCCGAGCCAUCAUAAAAGAAACAUGCGAAUUAGCGGAGAGAGGCUCAUUGCAGGCUAAAGGGACAGGGGGCAAGGGGCAGGGGCAGCAGAGUGACCAUCAGUGGGCACGUUUGCGAGCAUCAGUAGGUGUGUUUGUUGAAUCACAUGCUGUUCAGUGCGGCUGGACCCUGAGUCCAAGGCAAGGACAGGUGGGAGACGGAGCUGGAGAAGGCAGCAGGGGACGGAUCUUGGAGGGCCUUUGAUACCACGAGAAAGAACUUGGACAUUUCCCUGUAGAUCAGAGGUCACACACUGGUAAACCAUGGGCUAAUUUUUACCCUCAGGUGUUUUGUUUGGCCGAUACAACAUUAUUUUACCAUUGUACAUGAGCGAUGAAUCAUGGGAAUCUACUCCUGAAGCCAAAAGCACACUGUAUACACUGUAUGUUAGCUAACUUGACAAUAAUUUUUAUUUAAAAAAUAAAAAUAAAAAAUAAUUGAAAUAGCUUUAAAAUUUUUUAAAUUUCCACUUUGUUGAUGGUUUCUGUUGCUGUGCAGAAGCAUUUUAGUUUGAUGUAGUCGUAUUUUUUUUAUUUUUGAUUUUGCUGCUUGCAGAUUUAAAAAUUGGGUGGCUUCACGUAUCCAAAGAUCUAGAUUUCUGGUCUCUCUUGAAAAAAAUGAGAGGAUCUGGCAAUCCAGGGCCUCUAUACACUGAUACAGGUGAAGAUUACCUGGAUACAAAUAAUAGCUCUCCUCCCUGGAUGGGGCACAUGUGUUUCAAGCUCAUUGCUGUUCCCAGUGCUCUCC